rnacentral:lncRNA from 1 species
CAUUUAGAUAUACCUAAAUCGACACUGUCAUGCAUAACAACGUAUCGUUGUUACUGGUAACGUGUGAAGUCUUUUCUUAAAGUAUUUAUGAACUGUAUACUCAUCUCUGGAUGAUGUCAAAUCCGACUAAGAAGUGAUGUCAGGUUCGUCACGUUGUUUGUGACAUUAUUCACCGACUUAGCCUUCCCAAAACGCAUCCCAUUGAAAAUCCGAGAAUGAAUGGGAAAUGUUUGACUGGAGUUUCCCGGAGUAUCAGCAAAGAUUUUCGUUCAUUGCUAGUGGAUUGAAAGGGAGGUCUUUCUGUCAUUGUGCUCAAAAUUAUGGUAUUUUGGCUGACCAAGAAAUAGUCCAUAUGAUUUGCACUGGUGAUAGUGCUAAAAUGAUAUUUCUUAUAAUGAUGGUGGUGUGCACUUCCAUUUUAACUUGGCAGUAUGCCUCAAGAUGUUUGUGCUGCUGACUACAUCAAAAUGGAUUUUUUGGGAGAUCCAAUUACAACACUGCUAGAAGAAUAUGAUAUACAUGCUAGAGAUGCCCACUACUUCCAUUAAGAUAAACAGCGCCCGACCCGACAUGUUAAACUGGCUCGCAACCACCUCUACGUUUACAUCAGUGGCGAAACUUGCUCCAACAAAGCGACGUACGCGCCUCCUCGUAUUGCUAGACGUUUGAGGACGUUUUUCACUACCGGUUGAUCAAUUACAGUACGUGAACCUCCAGGACAACGACAGAAAAAUCGUGAACUAUGAAUCGGAUACUGCCGAGGAAUCGUGUUGAAACCGGCAAAAUCAUUUCUGCCAUCGGUGCUGUUGCGGGGAGGAGAAAGGAAUUUUCCGACCAUGGCGUCCAAAAUGCGGUUCAAUCAGUGCCUCAACGAUGUGACUGUUUGGAAAACAACCAUCACAUACCUGCUGCCUUUCAAUUCUUUCGCCUUUCAACUAAACCAGAAAAAUACUAGUUUUCGUCAUCCUGUCACAUCUCAAAUUCUAUGGUUUAUAAUUCCUGUUCUAUGACCCAGUUCUUUUACAGACAGUGGCUUCUCAUUUCAUCUUCAUUCCAGUAAUCAGAUUUGAUGUUUCGAAUUGUUUUAGGUUGUUAAAGCAAGUUUGACUUUCUACGAUGCUUCCACCAACGUGCAUGGUCGCCAAACUUUGUUGUUGUGUCGGACUGUUAAUCUGGGAGAAAAACGUCGAAUUAUUUGGCGAUAUGUUUGUCAAAGUUACAGAUAGAACGGCUAACGAUUUAAAUCUCACUUGGGAUAAUCUAUUUCUCGGACAAGGUACUUUGAGACCGGAUUUAAUUGUCCGCUUCGCAUAGGGCUUUUCGCGCUGAUCAUUAAAAAAAAGACUCAUCAUAACGAUUCCGAAAUGGUUCGUCAGUUGCGCCCUCACGGUCGUGUAGUAGAACCUUUUAAAGACUUCCAUAAAGAUGAAGUAAGAUCCUUAGGUCUCGAGCUGGGUCUGCUUGCAGAAUUACUGGAACGUCAUCCGUUUCCUGGUCCUGGUUUGUCCAUUUGAAUCAUUUGCGCCGAAGAACCGUUCAUGGAAGCUGAUUUCGGUGAGACGCAAGUGCUGAUUCGUUUGAUGGUCGAUUAUGCCAACAUGGCAACCAAGGAAAAUGCCUUGCUCAAUCGGAUUGAAAUCGCGACGUCGGAAGAAGAGCGUCUUCUUCUGGAAGAACUGUCCAGUCACAACCAGUAUGUUGCCACGCUACUGCCUAUUCAACCUGUCGGUGUUCAGGGAGAUUGCCAAAACUUAUAGCUAUUGCGUAGUACUGAAUUCUGAUAAGACAAUCAAACUGGAAUUAUCUAGCUACCUAGGCCUGCUUAGUACCACGUGUGUGCCAUAAUGUCAACCGUGUUUGCUACAUAUUCGGAAAGGGUGUGCGUGAAUCGGUGACAGACGUUCCACCUACCUACUUAAUGAGUAACAUUUUGGCGACUUUGAGGGAAGCGGAUUAUUUGGCAAAUAAAAUAUUACGGGAUUCGGAAUAAGAAGAAAGUAAAAGAAGCUAGCCCAGAUGCCAAUCGUCUUGAUCCCUCUUCCCUUUGAUCACGAUUCGAGUCAACGCAUUCCAUCAUACCAGCGAUGAGUCAUUUUUCGGAACUCCUGCAAUUCCUGAUACUCAUCUGCCCCAAGAGUUACGUAAAAAGUGGUACAUUUUAAAAACUGAUCUUGGUGUAAACAUUGAUACUGCUUAUUAGGUUGAAGACAAGAUGUUUGAAGCCGUCUUAACUGUUCCAGGAAUUUCCAGGGUCUUGUAUGACCUGACGGCAAAACCACCCGGGACAACGGAGUGGGGAUGAUUUUCGAUUUAAGUACUGUCAUAUUUCGGUUGCAGGUUUUCACUGAAUACGAAGUAAGUAAUGUGUUUAAUCGUGUUAAAUGUAUGAUUUUUCGAUUCAACUCUAUUUAGGUGUUAGAACUGAAAUUGUAAUUUUAGAUCUUUUAAAACACCGCCUAGCUUUUAUUAACAAUGGUUUACUUUCAAAAUCACUCAAAACUACUUCAAAACUAUCAAAAUCUUGUUAACCAUUUAAAGGAGAACAAAGCUCAUUUUGUAGAUUUCAUAAAUUUCAACUUCUGGUUUUACUUCCAGUUUUAAAAUGCCAAAUAACUCCUUAUUUAUUGGUCUCUCAGAAAAAAAAAUUACAUUUUUGUGAUCCUCGUCAAAUUUGGGGUCGACUCCGUGUAUCAGAUCAAAAUAUCCGAAAAUCAUCAAAAAUCGCAAAUUUUCCUGAACUAUUCAUUAAAUUUUAUAAUAUAUUUUUUGUUCUUGAAAAUUAUUUCUACUACGUCAAGCCAGAAAAUAUGCUAAGACGUACUUCAUGCAAUUUCAUUCACGUUAAGUUCAUGAAAAAUCGCGAUUUUGGUCAAAUCCGACUUUUGGCUAAAAAUACGUCAUUAAGUCUUAACCCAAAUUUGAUAAGGAUCAAGAAAAUUCUACUCGUUUUGUUAUGGGAUUACUAUUUCCGGAGAUAUUGGUUACUUCCGGCUACUUCCGGAAAAUUUUCCUGACAAGCUGUAAAAAGUAAAAAAUGAGCUGUAUUAUUCUAAAAAUUUCAAAUACUUUUUUUGCAUGCGUUAGGGUGUGCAGCUCUUAUUCUGUGGUUUUUUCACUAUCAACAGUACAGGCUGACCCUUCGAGCAACUACAGUUUUAAUCUACAAAUGUUUUAGCGCCUCGUCUUGCAACCAGUAGUUGGUAUUCUAGGUUUUUAAGUUUAAAAUUUGAAUUAUUGGAAGUUUAAUCAAUCAAUUAUUAUUAUUUGGAAUUAGUAAAAUUCAAGUACUUAAAAGCAAGAAUUGUACUGAUUUCAAAGUAAAAUCUAUUUUCUUUGGGUUUCAGGAGGAAAACUAGAUGGCGUUGAUGUGCGUUUUGAUAAGUAUUACGAGUGGCAAGUUAAAUCGGUGUUAGUUAAGUUUCUACCCUGUUUAGUGUUUCAAAGGAUUUUUAUUCAAAUAUUAACAGUGUUGUUCAGUAUUGUUAUCGUUGGGUAUGUAUUGAAAAUAAAAUUCUUAAAAUAUA